rnacentral:rRNA from 1 species
AGCAGCCGCGGUAAUUCCAGCUCCAAUAGCGUAUAUUAAAGUUGUUGCAGUUAAAAAGCUCGUAGUUGAAUUUCGGGGUUAGUAGGUUGGUCAUGCCUCUGGUAUGUACUGGUCUCACUGAUUCCUCCUUCCUGAUGAGCCGUAAUGCCAUUAAUUUGGUGUUGCGGGGAAUUUGGACUGUUACUUUGAAAAAUUGAGUGUUUAAAGCAAGCUAACGCUUGAAUACAUUAGCAUGGAAUAAUGAAAUAGGACGUUCGAUCCUAUUUUGUUGGUUUCUAGGAUUGACGUAAUGAUUAAUAGGGAUAGUUGGGGCAUUAGUAUUCAAUUGUCAGAGGUGAAAUUCUUGGAUUUAUUGAAGACUAACUACUGCGAAAGCAUUUGCCAAGGAUGUUUUCAUUAAU